rnacentral:rRNA from 1 species
AAAACUUUUAACAACCGGAUCUCUUGGUUCUGGCAUCGAUGAAGAACGCAGCGAAAUGCGAUAAGUAAUGUGAAUUGCAGAAUUCAGUGAAUCAUCGAAUCUUUGAACGCACAUUGCGCCCGCCAGCAUUCUGGCGGGCAUGCCUGUU